UACGAGGGAUCCUAGCGUUGUUCGGAAUCAUUGGGCGUAAAGGGUGUGUAGGCGGCCAAGUAAGUCAGUUGUGAAAGCCCGGAGCUCAACUCCGGGUCUGCCGCGGAUACUGCGAGGCUUGAGUGCUGUAGAGGGGGGUAGAAUGCCGGGGUGUAGCGGUGGAAUGCGUAGAGAUCCGGCAGAAGACCGGUGGCGAAGGCGGCCCCCUGGGCAGUAACUGACACUGAGGCGCGACAGCGUGGGGAGCAAACAGG
rnacentral:rRNA from 1 species